UUACACAUGCAAGUCGUACGAGAGUUUUUAACUCAAGUGGCGGACGGGUGAGUAACACGUAAGAAUUUACCUUUAGGAGGGGGAUAACAACUGGAAACGGUUGCUAAUACCCCAUAUGCUUUCGAGUGAAAUGGAAUUUCCGCCUAGAGAGAAGCUUGCGGCUGAUUAGCUUGUUGGUAAGGUAAUGGCUUACCAAGGCGACGAUCAGUAUCUGGUUUGAGAGGACGAUCAGACACACUGGAACUGAGACACGGUCCAGACUCCUGCGGGAGGCAGCAGUGGGGAAUUUUCCGCAAUGGGCGAAAGCCUGACGGAGCAACACCGCGUGAGGGAUGACGGCCUAUGGGUUGUAAACCUCUUUUUUCAGGGAGGAAUAAAAUGACGUGUACCUGAAGAAUAAGCAUCGGCUAACUCCGUGCCAGCAGCCGCGGUAAGACGGAGGAUGCAAGUGUUAUCCGGAAUCACUGGGCGUAAAGCGUCUGUAGGUGGUCAAAUAAGUCAACUGUUAAAUCUUGAGGCUCAACCUCAAAAUCGCAGUCGAAACUAUUAGACUAGAGUAUAGUAGGGGUAAAGGGAAUUUCCAGUGGAGCGGUGAAAUGCGUAGAGAUUGGAAAGAACACCGAUGGCGAAGGCACUUUACUGGGCUAUUACUAACACUCAGAGACGAAAGCUAGGGUAGCAAAUGGGAUUAGAUACCCCAGUAGUCCUAGCUGUAAACAAUGGAUACUAGAUGUUGAACAGAUCGACCUGUGCAGUAUUAAAGCUAACGCGUUAAGUAUCCCGCCUGGGAAGUAUGCUCGCAAGAGUGAAACUCAAAUGAAUUGACGG
rnacentral:rRNA from 1 species